GGAAGUCCAAGAUCAGGGUCCCAGCCUGGUUGGAUGAGGGCCCUCUUUUGGGCUGCAGACUUCUCAUUAUGUCUUCAUGUGGCAGAAGUGGCUAGGGAGCUCUGUGGGGUCUCUUUUAUAAGAGCACUAAUCCCACUCAUGAAGGCCCCACUCUCAUGACCUAACACCUCCCAAAGACCCUACCUCCUAAUAUUAUCACAUCAGGCAUUAGGAUUUCAAUAUGCAAAUUUGGGAGGACACAAACACUCAGACCAUAGCAGGCCUAAGACCACUCCAGCCUCUGGCAGAUGCGCUAAUUAAGACCUAUCUCAUGGAGACCAUUAGGCACACUUUUUAAAACGGUCAGAUUAAUGACUCUCCUCCCCUACCUCCCCACCCCCAGUGCAGGAUAGUUGUGGUAGAGAAUGUGAUUCCACCCUGGGACCCAAGUAAGGCUCCUGGCUCCUUUCUUUGAAGAUUCCACGCUCUGGAGUACCCUUGGGGAGAGUGGUAUGCGGUGGGUUUCAGUGCACAUUGGGACACUCAGGGGACAGGAAGCAGAGGAUAGCCCUGUCCUUCUUGUCCGUGCAAGAAGGGAGGAUUUGGGCAAGACCUGAACAUAAUGACUGCCUCAUGGGGGCUAGGUAGAUGCCCCAUCCUUCAUGAGCCAAAUUGGAAUUAUGAGUAGGAGGAAUAAACAUUUCUCCUCAUAAAACGGGCAAGCAUGGUUUUAAUUUAGAUCAAGGAGAUUCAAGUUAGAUCAAGAAAGAUUCUUCUCUCAGUAAGAAUUAUUCACAAUGAAAACAGUUCUCACUGAAACGCGAAAGAUGUGGCUUUCAAGUGGAUGCCUAACUGAAGUCAGAUUUCCAUAUAGUUCAUGCAUGUACUUACUAUAAGCAAUUGAAACAGGUGAAUGCAAUUGAAAAAUAGGAGAUUCUGGACACAGAAAACAUAGAAAAGUGUGGCACAGUAAUCCAACAAAAUUGACAAUAAUUUUUCCAUAAUUGAUCAAAAAUGAUUCAUGUUCAGAACAAAUUAAUGAGAGCUUGAGUUGAAAUUUAUGUUUAUAAAAGAAACCAGAAACGUAUGGGAAGAUUAAACUUCUGCCUGUCACGCUGGAGAAGGUCUUAUUUGGUUUCAGGGCUUUACUUGAUAACAAUUAAAUUUCACUUUUCUUUGUCAGAGUGCUCAGGUGUGGAACUAAAAUCUUUCUGGAGAACCACUUGAUUCAAAACACAGAUUAUCCUCUCCCAUCCCUCCCAGCAUGCUUUCAGUUCCCAUUCUUGAGCUAUCCAUUUCUCCCUCUGAGAUGAAAACUUUUUCAAAUCUCAUCUGUUAGAGGAAGUUGCUUUUCCUUUUGCCAAAUGAUCCAAAUAAUUUGUGGUUCAAGGCGAUUGUUCCUCCAAUCCUCCAGGUGCCUAAUCUUGUGGGGCACACACCCUUAUUCCAUGGGGCUUUAUUCUGAGGAAGAUUCUUUUGCGAGUCAUGGUCCAGCUGGUGUCACUUGAGAAAGUGUGAUGAGACUAAUUGGGUGAGCUAGAAACCAAUUACUUCGGAGUGAAGGAGGCAGAACAGGUGAAGAUGGAAUGCUGUCAACUCACAGGGGUACAUCGUCUGCUGCCUGACUCGUUUGUGACCCCAGGUUUGCUACUUAACCACAAUUCUGAAGAUACCAUGAAAAAUUCAAAGCAAUGUAUAGUUUAGCUAAUUUUCAUGUUAGCUUACAAACUUCCAAAUAAUAUAGAAAAGGUGGGUAAUGUAACUAUAGAGUGUCUACCAAAUUUUAGAAAAAUGUAUAAUUCAUGGCAUUGUGCCAGGAAAACAUCAAUCAUAUAGACUCUUGGGUAAAUAAUGAAAUUGUUAUGCCUCAUUUAGCUCCCUAUCGAUUUGGAAGACGGAAUACAUUUCAGAGGAAAUUGAUAAACGAAGGAAUAGAGAGCCCACCUGAAGACAACCAAAGGCAAGUUUUCUUUAGAUAUGGAAGGAAGCUUUCACACUUUUCUUCUCUUUUAAAAUGAAGCUCCUGAAGCACAUUUGCAUCUUGAGAGCUCAUGGAGGAUCAAAUGCUGCUUGGGGAUUUCAGGAGCCACAACCGGGAGGACCGGGAGCGGGGUGGUGAGGCAAUGAAAGCACUGAGCCUCGCCUCCCAGCCUCCCGUGUGUCCAUCCGUAAAGAGGAGAAUUUCAAGGAGCCACUGUGAGAAGCAGAAGAACGGAAACCCUUCCAGAUUCUGUAGGCAUUUCUCCAGUUCUCUGCCAUCUCAGGAAGCUGAGAGGCACUCCAGCCCGCCUGGCAGCCUUGCUAGCCUCUUCCCACUCUCCCUCUGGCCCCGGCUCUCCCCAGCCAGCCUCCAGUCUCUGCUUUCUAUGCCUGAUGAUCAGACUUGGACAGUACUGCCCUGCUUUCCUGUUCCUGAGCCACACUCAGAGCCCUGCCUGCCACAUGCAGGGGGGUGGCGUGCAGAGCUCCAGCCUGGUCCUGCUUUCUGUUCUGUGCUCUGAGAUGCCAAGUCCCACGGACCCACUUCUCCACCCACCCUGAGCCUUCCCAUCCAGCCUUCCAGGCUUGGAAAACAGCUUCCUAACAUAUUCACCAAAGACCAACAAAUCAUACUCUCAAAUGAGAAAGGAGAAAACAAAUGGAGUUGUGAAUAAAUUCACCAGUGAUUUAUAAUUUACAAAUGCUUAGAGAAAAAUCCCACCCCACUUCCACGAAGGAGAUUUGCUCAUGAAACAGAAGAAAAGUGUGGUUAAUAUAUUUUUAGUUCUCAAUAAAAGAGGAUAUUUGGAAUAAACACACACACAGACACACACACACACACGAACUGAAAUAAAACUUUAAUUGAAAGCAAUAAAAAGUAUUAUCCCACCUAACACUGUAGAAAAUUGAAUCAUGUGUAGAUGACUGGCUUACGGAAAUGAUUUAGAAUGUGAAGGAAAUACUUUUUUACAGCUUCCUUGAGGUAUAAUUUACACACAAUAAAAUUGCCCAUUGCAGGCAUGCAUUUUGAUGGGUUUUGGUAAAUGUACACAGUUGCACAACCACAAACAAGUUUUAGAAGACUUAUCACCCUGAGACCUUUCUGGUGCCUUUUUGCACUCAAUUCUCACCUCCACCUCAGCCCAUAGUCUCAGGAAACCACUAAUCAACUUUCUGUCAUUCUAGUUUUGCCUUUUAUAGAAAAGUUUACCAAUGGAAUAAAAGCGUAUAGACUCUUUUGUGUCUGGCUUCUUUCACUUGGCACGAUGUUUUUGAUAUUCAUGUGCGCUGUUGUGUAUUUCAGUAGUUCAUUUGUUUUUAUAGUUGUUCCCCUGUAUGGAUAUACCACAUUGUGCUUAUCCAUGGCUAAACAUUUGGGUGGUUUGGGAGUUGUUAUGAAUAAUGCUGCUAGGAGCAUUCAUGUAAAAGUCUUCAUAUGGACAUAUGUUUUCAUUUUUCUUAGGUAGAUACCUAGCAAUAAAAAUGUUGGUACGUACAUUGGUAAGUUG
rnacentral:lncRNA from 1 species